UGCAUCACUAUUAGUUUCUCGAGACAGAUGGUUUAUUUGCCUAGCUUACGAUGCUCCAAGGUAUGGAAUAUACGAGUCUACAUUACUAUCACUAGCUAACAGAGCCCAUUCAUCCUGAGACCAGCAACCAGAAUGGAAGGAAACUUAAAAAGCUCUGUCUUUGUCACCCCUCUUGGGCAUGUUUGAUGGAGUUCAAGGAAUCUGGUUCGGAAUGAAAGCGCCCACAGAUCCUUGGCACACAAUGCUGUUCAAUACGAUUGAGCCAAUUUUGUGUGCUCGCUGGGCUGAGACAGCAGGAUGUUAAAACAUGGAGGAAAGAAGUCAGGCUAAUGGAUGGAAGGGCGUGGCAGCACCACGUGGAGUCCCAUGGCGUAUGACCAAACAGAACAGUAAAUGAUGACAAAGAAACCUGUCAGACAGCCAUGUUGUCUCAUACAGUACAUCUCAGGUCAUGGACACGACAUCCUACAAUCACAUCUUACAAUCAAUCAGGGUUUCUGGUGAAGGAUGUUCCCGGAACGUGUCAGAUUUCUUUCUCCUCAACUUGUCCUAAAGUAAAGAAAUGGUCAAAAAGGAUGUAUGCCUAACCUCCUGCUGAUGUCUGUAAAUGUUCUUUUGUAAGAAAGAAUCGAGUGAAAUAAAUGAUUUUGAAUGUA